CAUAGGCUUGGUCCUGGCCUUUCUAUUGGUUAUCAAUAAACUUACACAUGCAAGAAUCCUCGUCCCUGUGAAAAUGCCCUCUAAGCCAUUUGUUGACAAAAGGAGCCGGUAUCAGGCACACUAAAAGUAGCUCAUAACGCCUUGCUCAGCCACACCCCCACGGGAGACAGCAGUGACAAAAAUUAAGCAAUAGACGAAAGUCUGACUAAGUUAUAUUGUUUAGGACUGGUAAAUUUCGUGCCAGCCACCGCGGUCAUACGAUUAGGCCAAACCAAUAGAUAUCCGGCGUAAAGGGUGUUUUAGAGUAUAAAUAAGUCAAUAAAGUUAAACUAUAAUUACGCUGUAAAAAGCUUCAAUUAAUGUAAGACAAGUAACGAAAGUAGCUUUAAAGAAUCUGAUUACACGACAGCUAGGGCCCAAACUGGGAUUAGAUACCCCACUAUGCCUAGUCUUAAACAUAAAAAAUUAUAAACAAAAUUAUUCGCCAGAGUACUACUAGCAAAAGCUAAAAACUCAAAGGACUUGGCGGUGCCUUAUAUCCCUCUAGAGGAGCCUGUUCUAUAAUCGAUAAACCCCGAUACACCCUACCAGUCUUUGCUAAGUCAGCCUAUAUACCGCCAUCCACAGCAAACCCUAAAAAGGAAAUACAGUAAGCACAAGUAUUGUUCAUAAAGACGUUAGGUCAAGGUGUAGCUUAUAGACUGGAAAGAAAUGGGCUACAUUUCUCGCUUUAAACGAGAAAGUUUUUACGAAAACCAAUGUGAAAUCAACGGCUAAAGGUGGAUUUAGUAGUAAAUUAAGAAUAGAGUGCUUAAUUGAAUAAGGCCAUGAGGCACGCACACACCGCCCGUCACCCUCCUCAAACAAACAAACCAGAUUAUUACAUAAAUUCAAAAUAUUAAUUUGUAAGAGGAGAUAA
rnacentral:ncRNA from 1 species